rnacentral:rRNA from 1 species
GAUGAACGCUGGCGGCGUGCCUAAUACAUGCGAGUCGAGCGAACGGACGAGAAGCUUGCUUUUCUGAUGUUAGCGGCGGACGGGUGAGUAACACGUGGAUAACCUACCUAUAAGACUGGGAUAACUUCGGGAAACCGGAGCUAAUACCGGAUAAUAUUUUGAACCGCAUGGUUCAAAAGUGAAAGACGGUCUUGCUGUCACUUAUAGAUGGAUCCGCGCUGCAUUAGCUAGUUGGUAAGGUAACGGCUUACCAAGGCAACGAUGCAUAGCCGACCUGAGAGGGUGAUCGGCCACACUGGAACUGAGACACGGUCCAGACUCCUACGGGAGGCAGCAGUAGGGAAUAUUCCGCAAUGGGCGAAAGCCUGACGGAGCAACGCCGCGUGAGUGAUGAAGGUCUUCGGAUCGUAAAACUCUGUUAUUAGGGAAGAACAUAUGUGUAAGUAACUGUGCACAUCUUGACGGUACCUAAUCAGAAAGCCACGGCUAACUACGUG